rnacentral:tRNA from 1 species
GGGGCUGGGGCUCAGUGGUAGAGCACUUGCCUUGCAUGUAUGAGGCCCUAGGUUCAAUCCUUAGCACCA